rnacentral:rRNA from 1 species
GAUGAACGCUGGCGGCGUGCCUAAUACAUGCAAGUCGAGCGAACAUAUAAGGAGCUUGCUCCUUUGACGUUAGCGGCGGACGGGUGAGUAACACGUGGGUAACCUACCUAUAAGACUGGGAUAACUUCGGGAAACCGGAGCUAAUACCGGAUAAUAUUUCGAACCGCAUGGUUCGAUAGUGAAAGAUGGUUUUGCUAUCACUUAUAGAUGGACCCGCGCCGUAUUAGCUAGUUGGUAAGGUAACGGCUUACCAAGGCGACGAUACGUAGCCGACCUGAGAGGGUGAUCGGCCACCCUAGAACAGAGCAACGGUCCAGACUCCUACGGGAGGCAGCAGGAGGGAAUCUUCCGCAAUGGGCGAAAGCCUGACGGAGCAACGCCGCGUGAGUGAUGAAGGUCUUCGGAUCGUAAAACUCUGUUAUUAGGGAAGAACAUACGUGUAAGUAACUGUGCACGUCUUGACGGUACCUAAUCAGAAAGCCACGGCUAACUACGUG